rnacentral:rRNA from 1 species
GAUAAACGCUAGCGGCAGGCUUAACACAUGCAAGUCGAGGGGCAGCAUAGAUUGUAGCAAUACAAUUGGUGGCGACCGGCGCACGGGUGCGUAACGCGUAUGCAACCUGCCCGUCACAGGGGGAUAAUCCGGAGAAAUCUGGUCUAAUACCCCAUAACAUAUGGAUCGGCAUCGGUUCAUGUUGAAAUUUUCGGAGGUGACGGAUGGGCAUGCGUAGCAUUAGCUUGUUGGUGAGGUAACGGCUCACCAAGGCGACGAUGCUUAGGGGGACUGAGAGGUUUUCCCCCCACACUGGUACUGAGACACGGACCAGACUCCUACGGGAGGCAGCAGUGAGGAAUAUUGGUCAAUGGGCGCAAGCUUGAACCAGCCAUGCCGCGUGCAGGAUGACGGCUCUAUGAGUUGUAAACUGCUUCUGUACGAGGGUAAAGUGGGUUACGUGUAACCUUUUGAAAGUAUCGUACGAAUAAGGAUCGGCUAACCCCGUGCCAGCCGCCGCCGUAA